GACGGAAGGUGCAAGCGUUGCUCGGAAUCACUGGGCGUAAAGGGUGCGUAGGCGGCUGUGUAAGUCUGGCGUGAAAGCCCCGGGCUCAGCCCGGGAAGUGCGCUCGAAACUGCGCGGCUCGAGUGCCGGAGGGGAGAGUGGAAUUCCGUGGUGUAGCGGUGAAAAUGCGUAGAUAUCAGGAGGAAUACCGGUGGCGAAAGCGACUCUC
rnacentral:rRNA from 1 species